rnacentral:rRNA from 1 species
UACAUAGGCUUCAAGCGUUGUCCGGAUUUAUUGGGCGUAAAGAGUUCGUAGGCGGUCGAGUAAGUCGGGUGUGAAAAUUCUGGGUUCAACCCAGAGAUGCCACCCGAUACUGCUUAACUUGAGUUCGAUAGGGGAGUGGGGAAUUCCUAGUGUAGCGGUGAAAUGCGCAGAUAUUAGGAGGAACACCGGUGGCGAAGACGCCACUCUGGAUCGAUACUGACGCUGAGGAACGAAAGCAUGAGUAGCAAACGAGAUUAGAUACCCUGGUAGUCCAUGCGGUAGACGGGGGGCACUAGGUGUGGGUUUCUAUUAACGAAAUCCGCGCCGUCGCUAACGCAUUAAGUGCCCCGCCUGGGGAGUACGGUCGCAAGACUA